AGCGAACGCUGGCGGCAGGCCUAACACAUGCAAGUCGAACGGACCCUUCGGGGUUAGUGGCGGACGGGUGAGUAACACGUGGGAACGUGCCUUUAGGUUCGGAAUAGCUCCUGGAAACGGGUGGUAAUGCCGAAUGUGCCCUUCGGGGGAAAGAUUUAUCGCCUUUAGAGCGGACCGCGUCUGAUUAGCUAGUUGGUGAGGUAAUGGCUCACCAAGGCGACGAUCAGUAGCUGGUCUGAGAGGAUGACCAGCCACAUUGGGACUGAGACACGGCCCAAACUCCUACGGGAGGCAGCAGUGGGGAAUCUUGCGCAAUGGGCGAAAGCCUGACGCAGCCAUGCCGCGUGAAUGAUGAAGGUCUUAGGAUUGUAAAAUCCUUUCACCGGUGAAGAUAAUGACUGUAGCCGGAGAAGAAGCCCCGGCUAACUUCGUGCCAGCCGCCGCGGUAA
rnacentral:rRNA from 1 species